rnacentral:ncRNA from 1 species
AAUCGGCCUACCAUACCAGGGACGUGAUUCCUAACAUGGAGCCGAGGGAAACGAACCUCAGCAAACUACCAAUAUGGGAAAGCUGAAAAAUCAAGUGUUGGGUGGAGUUUGGUAGGCCGUUCUUACGGCUCGAAGAAGUCAGACCCA